rnacentral:rRNA from 1 species
ACUAAGCAUAUCAAUAAGCGGAGGAAAAGAAACCAACAGGGAUUGCCUCAGUAACGGCGAGUGAAGCGGCAACAGCUCAAAUUUGAAAUCUGACCCCUUCGGGGCCCGAGUUGUAAUUUGUAGAGGAUGCUUCGGGUGCGGCGCCGGUCUAAGUUCCUUGGAACAGGACGUCAUAGAGGGUGAGAAUCCCGUAUGCGACCGGCGGCCAACCCCGUGUGAAGCCCCUUCGACGAGUCGAGUUGUUUGGGAAUGCAGCUCAAAAUGGGUGGUAAAUUUCAUCUAAAGCUAAAUACCGGCCAGAGACCGAUAGCGCACAAGUAGAGUGAUCGAAAGAUGAAAAGCACUUUGGAAAGAGAGUCAAACAGUACGUGAAAUUGUUGAAAGGGAAGCGCUUGCAACCAGACCUGCCCGCGGGCGAUCAGCCGUUAUUCUUAGCGGUGCACUCGUCCGCGAUCAGGCCAGCAUCGGUUCGAGCGGCCGGAUAAAGGCCUCGGGAAUGUAGCUCCCCCCGGGGAGUCUUAUAGCCCGGGGUGCAAUGCGGCCAGCCCGGACCGAGGACCGCGCUUCGGCUAGGAUGCUGGCGUAAUGGUUGUAAGCGACCCGUCUUGAAACACGGACC